UGUCUGUUCACGUCGUGUUAAUCAGGCUGUCGACACACCUCGGUUUAAUAUAGCUGGAAUUAAACACAUACAAUUGUUGGAUAAGCACAGAGAGAUUCAUUUGACAUACUUAAUGUUUAUCUUAAGCAAACAUGAGGUGACGUAAUACGGCUCACACAGUUGGUCGCCUCACAGACAGUCAAAGCAGCAGCUGUGGACAGGUGAUGCAAUUAGCCUUAAUUUAGUUCAGAAUUCCACUGUUGUCUUCAAACAGCGAUGACUUUUUGUCAUCUGAUGCGGUUUUACCGGGAUGAUCCAACCAAAUGUUGUUCAAACUCCCUUUAAUCCCACAAAAUCUGUGUCGCACAUCUUCAUCCGUCCCUUCUCCGAGAUCGCAGCGAGACCCAGCUCUGUCUUCCUCCACUCCCGCUCCUGUUCUGCCAGGCUCAGAUGAGCUGGCAUCUUACAAUUGCCUAGUGUGAGCACAUCCUGAUUAUUCUCCCGCAUACACGAGUCUCUACCUGGCCAUCAAGUGUCGUCCCGCGUCACACUCUGCUGCGAUGGGUUCCGUCAUCGUGCUGGUCUCUCAGAAGGAUACAAGAGCGGAGGAGAAACUGCCUAAGGACUGCAUCUGAAUGCUUCAAACAAGAGUUCACUGACAGAAGGAGGUCAUUGAAUUAUCAUCUGUACAGGUCCCACAAUCAUGGCACCAAUCGGCACAGAUCUCGUAGGCUGGGCGGUCACAGAGCAACCAGAGGCUGCAUUCCUUUCCGUAGUCGUCCUGUUCAUCGUUAGCAUCGCACUCCUCGUUCUCUGUGCAAGCUGUAAAAAACAUUCAUUUGAGUUGGACAGCCACAGUGUACCUGAGCAGCAGAAAUCAUCCACACUUGUGAGCGUGGCAAAAAUGAAUGAUUCAAGAGGCGCCAGACAAAACCCUGCUGAUAAUGACAUCACAGAAGAUGAAAUCGGUUUAGAGGCUGUGGAGGGUGGCAGUGAGUACAGACCCUGGAGAAGUCACACUCUCACUCACGGAUCAAGCCUACAACCUCAAAUAAAUGGCGGGAUUGGGACAACGACUGCGGGAUCGGUAACACUGCAAACUCUCUGAGAAAGUGUGGACAAAAGCCUGCAGAGAACUCCACCAUCUUUAUUAUGCAACCUGAAAUGCUCAAACUAAACAAUCCUCUACACUAUUUGGAGAUAAAGGGUUUCUGUGUCCUUCUGAAACUAGGCUGAGGUCCUGCUUUGUGGCAUUGACUCCCAUAAGUCCCCAUCAAACUUUGAGACUAUAGGAACUAUAGGAGCCCCCGAUCUGUCCCUCAGCAUUGACUGAAUUGAGUCAAAGCUGAAUCUUUAUGCAAUGGUUCAGACAAGAAUGGUCAGUGUCCCUUAGAGGAGGAAGCCUGAUCUUCUGGCCACACCUGUUCUGACAAAUAGGGAUCCCUAUUCAGGUGGUCACAGAUAAAUGCAACAUAAACAAGAAAAUCAGGUGUCAUCUCCAUCUGAAGAGGAGGGGGAAGUUUCUGCAUCAUUACCAAAGAGACCUAAACAAAAAUGAAGAUUUUCCUUUUAAUCUUUUUCUAAUGAAGUCCAGUAUUGUGAAAUUAUUCUGUAUUCAUAUUCAUUCUUCGUAAGGGUGCAAUAUAGACUUUCUCUCUCAUAUCAACUGGUUUGUUUAUGUUUAUGGAUUUGUAUAGCAGCAUACUAGUAAAUACUUUGAGGUUUUGAACAAAUGUAUGAAUUCAAGUGGGCAUGAAUGAUGUAAUUAAAGUAACAGAUGCUUUAGAAUUAA